rnacentral:rRNA from 1 species
CAGUAGCCACGGUAAUACAGAGGGUGCGAGCGUUAAUCGGAUUUACUUGGCGUAAAGCGUGCGUAGGCGGCUUCUUAAGUCGGAUGUGAAAUCCCUGAGCUUAACUUAGGAAUUGCAUUCGAUACUGGGAAGCUAGAGUAUGGGAGAGGAUGGUAGAAUUCCAGGUGUAGCGGUGAAAUGCGUAGAGAUCUGGAGGAAUACCGAUGGCGAAGGCAGCCAUCUGGCCUAAUACUGACGCUGAGGUACGAAAGCAUGGGGAGCAAACAGGAUUAGAUACCCCGGUAGUCCCUGUCUCUUAUAC